rnacentral:lncRNA from 1 species
CUCUAAGCACUCCUUAGGCGCUGGAUGAUGCAAUGCACAAUACAACAAACAUCCUAUUUAAAAGUGCUCCCCACACGGAAGCUUUUGUUUUUAAACUCUAAUUCAUUCAUUCAUAAAAACCAUUCGAAAACCUUUUUAAAACUGUUUCCCACACGGAAACUCUAUUUUGAAAACCGACUACCUCGAGGGGUAGAAAACCACGAUAUGUAAAUACAAGAAAAUCCGAUAUCCAUAAAAUCAAUAUCCAAAUCCACAAACCUUAGUUUACAUGCAUAAAUAACGAAAGCAUCCCCAGAUCUACCAAAACCAGAUCACCAACAUUCAAACAAUCAUAAAGAUCAGCUAACUGAACCAUAUAAACUAUCUAAACUAUAUCAACAGGACAGUAAGGGUAAAAACUAGACCGAAUAACCUGAGUCGGAAGCUCUAGCAACCACUACGAACGUGUCUCGCGUCUCGUCUCAACUCUCACUGCCGGCGAUACCUGAAAAAUAGUGGGGGAGGUGAGAACAUGUAAACAUGUCUCCCCUCCCAGUGGGUACCGCAAGCCGAUGAAGGCGAGGAGUACUCACCGGAUCAGGAAGAGCUAAACAACAGUACGGGUCAGUAGAAAUGCAGUAGCAAUAAUAAUGAAUGAAAGAGACAUAUAUAUGAAAGAAGUAUAACUAUCGCUACUAUAAUGGACAACUGAAUGUAUACAUGUAACAAGACUAUAGUAGCAAGACAAUGUAAUGAAAGAACUGAAGGUAUACAGGCAACAACCGCUACUAUAGUUAUAUGCGUCAACCGGACAAGGAGUCCAAAUAUACCCAAUCUGGUACCUGCUAUAUUGGUCCGCAGACCUCAAGCGCUGCCUGUCACUAACCUGCACUGACCUGAUUCACCCGCCCCACAGGACGACCCAUCCGGAUAAGUACACCUCCGAUCGGUGGCCAAACCGAUCCGGUGUCGUGAAUACCCCCAAGUGCUGUGACUAAGUCAUGAUGGUAUGCUCAAUACAAAAACCGGCUGAAACCGGUGCCUAGGCCGAAGCCAGAAACAAGGACGUACAACGCCGAACCUCGAUCAACCAGAUCGAAACACAUGACGAGAGAGUCAAUGUGUUACCUGGACCCAAGGUCCACAAAGUCCAACUGACCAGCAAGGUCACUGAUACGAAGUACGAGAACUGACCAACCAGGUCAACAGAUGCGGAAUGCACAACCAACCAACUAGGUCAACAGAUACUGAAUGCAACAACAGACCAACUAGGUCAACAGAUACAGAAUGCAACAACAGACCAACUAGGUCAACAGAUACGCAUGUAGAUAGAACUACUCUACUCCUACUCAGGAUACUAAGUAUGCAAACAACGAGCAGAGUAUAACGAAUAAACAAGGGUGCAAGGCUCAAUAUACUAUGCGAUAGUAACAACAGAAGAGCAGGGGUAAGAAACCGUCACCAAGCGUGCACCACUGUACCGACGUCGGAUCGAAGUACCCACCUAUACGGAUGUCGCGUCUAUCUCCUG